ACUGGAGUCACAGAGUCGCCUUUGAACCGCAAGUGAACUUGAGUGCUGCACUAGCAGCCCGGCUCCCGCUGCCGCCGGCGCCCCGAGGCCUCCCAGUGAGGUUUACCUCCUCGCCCGCCCUCCCCGGGGAGCGCAACCCUGGGCUCGUUCGUUACCGAGCCAGAGAGCUAGGAAGCCUGUCCUCCCCUUCGGGUGCUAUUUCCUACCUCCUCCCGACUUCACCCCCUCCCCUCCUUUUUUUCUUGUUGCGGGUUUGAAGCAUGGUUUUCAUGUGAUUGUUUUUUCCCUUUUUCAUGGACAGUACCUGCACCCUAAGCAGUUCAGAGUUGGCUUCUGUUUUCCGUUAGCGCUUUGCUGCACGGACAAAUGCAUACAAAUGCAUUUAAGAGCCCACAGAACAAGGCGUGGAAAAGUCUCCCCCACGGCAAAAACGAAAUCACUUCUUCAUUUUAUUGUACUAUGUGUGGCUGGGGUGGUUGUUCAUGCACAAGAACAAGGCAUAGAUAUUCUUCAUCAACUAGGCCUUGGAGGCAAAGACGUAAGACACUCAUCACCAGCGACUGCUGUACCAUCAGCAUCUACACCGUUACCUCAGGGGGUCCAUUUAACAGAAUCAGGAGUCAUUUUUAAAAAUGAUGCUUAUAUCGAGACACCUUUCGUGAAAAUUUUACCAGUCAACUUGGGGCAGCCGUUUACAAUAUUAACUGGGUUACAGUCACAUCGGGUGAACAAUGCAUUUCUCUUCAGCAUUAGAAAUAAAAAUAGACUGCAAUUAGGAGUACAAUUACUACCUAAAAAAUUAGUAGUACACAUUAGAGGAAAGCAGCCUGCAGUUUUCAACUACAGUGUUCAUGAUGAGCAAUGGCACUCAUUUGCCAUUACUAUUAGAAACCAAAGUGUCUCAAUGUUUGUUGAGUGUGGAAAGAAAUAUUUUAGCACAGAGACUAUUCCAGAAGUUCAGACCUUUGAUUCUAAUAGUGUGUUUACUUUAGGAAGUAUGAAUAAUAAUUCUAUCCAUUUUGAAGGAAUAGUAUGUCAGUUAGAUAUUAUUCCUUCUGCAGAAGCAUCUGCAGACUACUGCAGAUAUGUGAAACAGCAGUGUCGCCAAGCAGACAAAUACCAACCUGAAACAAGCAUUCCUUGUACAACUCUCAUACCAACAAAGAUACCGGAACACUCUCCCCCGCCCAAACUAUUUGCUGAAAAAGUACUGUCAGAGGAUACAUUUACUGAAGGCAAAAGCAUUCCAAAUAUCAUAAAAAAUGAUUCUGAAACCGUGUAUAAAAGACAAGAACACCAGAUAUCAAGAUCUCAGUUAUCUUCUCUUCAGUCAGGAAAUGUCUCUGCUGUGGAUCUCACAAACCAUGGGAUUCAGGCCAAAGAAAUGAUCACUGAGGAAGAUACUCAGACAAAUUUCAGCCUGUCAGUGACCACUCAUCGCAUCAGUGAGGCAAAAAUGAAUACCAAAGAGAAAUUUAGCUCUCUCCUAAACAUGUCUGACAAUAUCACACAACAUGAUGAUAGAGUAACUGGUCUGUCACUGUUUAAGAAGAUGCCAUCUAUUCUUCCACAAAUUAAACAAGAUACAAUUACUAAUCUCAAGAAGGCUAUCACAGCAAAUCUACACACUAACGAACUCAUGGAAAUGCAACCAAUUUUAAACACAAGCUUGCAUAGAGUGACAAAUGAGCCAUCUGUGGAUAAUCACCUUGAUCUAAGGAAAGAAGGUGAAUUUUAUCCUGAUGCUACUUAUCCCAUCGAAAAUAGCUAUGAAACUGAGCUUUAUGAUUAUUAUUAUUAUGAGGAUCUAAAUACAAUGCUUGAAAUGGAGUAUCUGAGAGGGCCAAAAGGAGACACUGGACCUCCCGGUCCACCUGGUCCAGCAGGUAUCCCAGGUCCGUCAGGGAAGAGAGGUCCACGGGGCAUACCAGGGCCACAUGGAAAUCCUGGUUUACCUGGAUUACCUGGUCCAAAGGGCCCCAAAGGAGAUCCAGGAUUUUCCCCAGGUCAACCUGUUCCUGGAGAAAAGGGUGAUCAAGGCCUUUCUGGAUUAAUGGGCCCCCCUGGUAUGCAAGGUGAUAAGGGUCUCAAAGGACAUCCUGGACUCCCAGGACUUCCAGGUGAACAAGGAAUUCCAGGAUUUGCUGGUAAUAUUGGUUCACCCGGUUACCCUGGCAGGCAGGGUUUAGCUGGACCAGAAGGUAAUCCAGGUCCUAAAGGUGCACAAGGUUUUAUUGGCUCUCCUGGAGAAGCGGGACAACUGGGACCUGAAGGAGAACGGGGCAUUCCUGGGAUCCGUGGAAAGAAGGGUUUUAAGGGGAGACAGGGUUUUCCAGGUGACUUUGGAGACAGAGGCCCUGCUGGUCUUGAUGGCAGUCCUGGACUUGUAGGUGGCACUGGUCCUCCGGGGUUUCCUGGGCUUAGAGGCAGUGUUGGCCCUGUGGGACCAAUUGGACCUGCUGGAAUUCCUGGCCCAAUGGGCCUUUCAGGGAAUAAAGGACUACCUGGAAUCAAAGGGUGAACAAGGCACAGCAGGAGAGCUAGGAGAACCCGGGUAUCCUGGAGACAAGGGUGCUGUUGGUUUACCAGGACCACCAGGGAUGAGAGGAAAGUCAGGGCCUUCAGGCCAAACAGGUGACCCAGGACUCCAAGGACCAUCUGGCCCUCCAGGACCAGAGGGUUUUCCAGGAGAUAUUGGGAUUCCUGGACAAAACGGCCCUGAAGGACCAAAGGGACUCCUUGGAAAUAGAGGACCUCCUGGACCUCCUGGUCUCAAAGGAACUCAGGGAGAAGAAGGACCAAUUGGAGCCUUUGGGGAACUGGGGCCAAGAGGAAAACCAGGUCAAAAGGGGUAUGCAGGUGAACCAGGACCAGAAGGCUUAAAGGGAGAAGUAGGAGAUCAAGGAAAUAUUGGAAAAAUUGGUGAAACAGGACCUGUUGGCUUACCUGGAGAAGUUGGGAUGACUGGAAGCAUUGGCGAAAAGGGAGAACGUGGAAGUCCAGGCCCACUAGGUCCGCAGGGAGAAAAAGGUGUUAUGGGAUAUCCAGGUCCUCCUGGGGUUCCAGGACCUAUCGGUCCAUUGGGAUUACCUGGUCAUGUGGGGGCAAGAGGACCACCUGGGAGUCAAGGUCCUAAAGGACAAAGAGGAUCAAGAGGACCAGAUGGUCUCUUAGGGGAACAAGGUAUACAAGGUGCCAAGGGUGAAAAAGGAGAUCAAGGAAAAAGAGGGCCUCAUGGUCUUAUUGGUAAGACUGGAAACCCUGGAGAAAGAGGAUUUCAAGGGAAACCAGGUUUACAGGGAUUGCCUGGAAGUACAGGUGACAGAGGACUUCCAGGAGAGCCAGGACUGCGAGGACUGCAAGGUGAUGUUGGACCUCCUGGAGAAAUGGGCAUGGAGGGACCUCCAGGCACUGAGGGAGAGUCUGGUCUGCAAGGUGAACCAGGUGCAAAGGGAGAUGUUGGAACUGCUGGCAGUGUUGGAGGAACUGGGGAACCAGGUUUACGGGGUGAACCAGGAGCUCCUGGAGAAGAAGGUCUCCAGGGAAAAGAUGGGUUAAAGGGAGUACCAGGAGGAAGGGGACUUCCUGGAGAGGAUGGAGAAAAAGGAGAGAUGGGCUUACCAGGAAUUAUAGGACCCUUGGGUAGAUCAGGCCAAACAGGCCUUCCGGGACCUGAAGGAAUUGUGGGAAUUCCAGGGCAAAGAGGUCGUCCAGGAAAAAAGGGUGAUAAAGGACAAAUAGGACCCACAGGAGAAGUUGGAAGCAGAGGUCCUCCUGGAAAAAUUGGGAAAAGUGGUCCUAAGGGUGCCAGAGGAACUAGAGGUGCUGUGGGACAUUUAGGAUUGAUGGGACCUGAUGGAGAACCAGGAAUUCCAGGGUACAGGGGCCAUCAGGGCCAACCAGGACCCUCUGGAUUGCCAGGACCUAAAGGAGAAAAGGGCUACCCAGGAGAAGAUAGCACAGUCCUAGGACCACCUGGGCCUCGAGGGUCCAGUGGGGGACCAAGGAGAGAGAGGAGAGCCUGGAGCAGAGGGAUAUAAGGGCCAUGUGGGUGUACCAGGACUAAGAGGUGCCACUGGACAACAAGGACCCCCAGGCGAACCAGGUGACCAGGGUGAACAAGGACUAAAAGGAGAGAGAGGAUCUGAAGGUAAUAAGGGGAAAAAAGGAGCUCCUGGUCCUUCUGGGAAACCUGGGAUUCCUGGACUUCAAGGCCUACUUGGGCCAAAAGGCAUACAAGGAUACCAUGGAGCAGAUGGCAUUUCAGGAAACCCUGGAAAAAUUGGGCCACCAGGAAAACAGGGACUUCCUGGCAUCAGAGGCGGCCCAGGAAGAACAGGUCUUGCUGGGGCUCCAGGUCCUCCAGGAGUAAAGGGUUCAUCAGGCUUGCCAGGAAGCCCAGGAAUUCAAGGCCCAAAGGGUGAACAAGGGCUACCUGGUCAACCUGGAAUUCAAGGUAAAAGAGGUCACCGAGGAGCACAAGGUGAUCAAGGACCAUGUGGAGACCCUGGCCUGAAAGGGCAGCCUGGAGAAUAUGGUGUUCAAGGUUUGACAGGUUUCCAAGGAUUCCCAGGCCCUAAAGGUCCUGAAGGGGAUGCUGGCAUUGUUGGGAUAUCAGGUCCUAAAGGUCCUAUUGGACACAGAGGAAACACUGGUCCCCUUGGCAGAGAAGGUAUAAUAGGCCCAACAGGUAGAACUAUGAGGAGACAGAUGAGGUUUAUGGAGGUUCAUCUAGUCAUUCAAGGUGAUAGACCUCGUGGAUUACAUAGCUGGUGUUUCUUCAAGACCAGCGCUCUUUCCACUCCAUUCAAGCUGUGUCUGGAGAGGAAAUUGAGGGACCCAGAGGUGAAAAGGGCUUUAGAGGUGAAACUGGUCCUCAAGGACCAAGAGGUCAACCAGGGCCUCCAGGUCCACCUGGAGCACCAGGCCCAAGAAAGCAAAUGGAUAUCAAUGCUGCUAUUCAAGCCUUGAUUGAAUCAAAUACUGCCCUACAGAUGGAGAGCUACCAGAAUACUGAAGUGACUUUAAUUGACCACAGUGAAGAGAUAUUCAAAACCCUGAACUACCUUAGCAAUUUAUUGCACAGCAUCAAGAAUCCUCUUGGCACACGAGAUAACCCAGCACGAAUCUGCAAAGAUUUACUUAACUGUGAACAAAAAGUAUCAGAUGGAAAAUACUGGAUUGACCCAAAUCUUGGCUGUCCUUCAGAUGCCAUUGAGGUUUUCUGCAAUUUCAGUGCUGGUGGCCAGACAUGCUUACCUCCUGUUUCUGUAACAAAGUUGGAGUUUGGAGUUGGGAAAGUCCAGAUGAACUUCCUUCAUUUACUGAGUUCGGAAGCCACCCAUAUCAUCACCAUUCACUGUCUAAACACCCCAAGGUGGACAAGCACACAAACAAGUGGCCCAGGAUUGCCUAUUGGUUUCAAGGGAUGGAAUGGCCAGAUUUUUAAAGUAAACACUCUACUUGAACCUAAAGUGCUUUCAGAUGACUGCAAGAUUCAAGAUGGCAGCUGGCAUAAGGCAACAUUUCUUUUUCACACCCAGGAACCUAAUCAACUUCCAGUGAUUGAAGUACAAAAACUUCCUCAUCUCAAAACUGAACGAAAGUAUUACAUUGACAGCAGUUCUGUAUGCUUUCUGUAAAGUCUCUGAAUUAGUUCCGAAUUCAGGCUGUUGGCCAGGUAAUUGCUGCAGAGGGAGAAAUAAGACAGACAGAUACAGUCAUUAUGAAAUGCAUGUAAUAAAGCAUUGGCUAAAUCUUAAAGAAUCUCAGGAAGAACAGACUUCCUCCUAAGAAGGAGAAAAGGCAUUUUUAAAGGACUAUGAUUGAUAAAGUAUUUAAUUCUUUUAAAAAUUAUAUUCAUCUCAGCUUUCUUAGAGAAUUCCCUAGAACUAAAAAUUUAUAAAUAUGGAAUUCUUCAGGGUAUCUUAUAUUUUUGACUGAGUGCGUAGUACCCAUUAGACAGCUGGAGAUGCAGAGCACUAUGGAGCAAUACUGGCUAAUGCUUCCAGAUGUGCACUGCUUCUGUCUAAAAAUUACAAGCCACAGUCUAAUAUGUCUUAUUUUCCAAAACACUAAGCUGUAUUCAGGUCCCCGAUGGGCAUAUACAUCUUAGCCGGUGAUACACUACCUCUUACGUGUUGCCUCUUUGUGUUGCUUGGUGCUCUUUCGAAAACAAGGUGCUUAUGGCUUUCAUAGACUAUUUCCUUUUUCAUCUUUGUCAUUCUUUAAAAGUGUAUGUACUGGUUACAUCAAGAUAUGUUUUGGUUGUUAGUACUUAUUUUAAUUUGUUUGGUCACACACUUAAUAACACGUGAAACUAUUUAUGUGAAGUCCUUGUUUUAUUUUAAAAUUCUCUUUGUGUAUUUGGAAUCAAAGCCAGCACAUUGUAACCUGUGCUUGUACGCAAAAGAAUUAGAUUUCUUUGUUUUUGUUUUAUUUUUUAAAUUGUUGUAAAAAUUAUUAUAGGCCAGCUACAUCUAGUAGUAGGUUUGGGGUACAGAUUGGGGGUUGUGCCAUACUGUUUUUAAAGUUCAUGAUCAUCUGGAAUGAUACUUAGUGUAUAUAUAUUUUGUAAAGUUUUAAUUCAGCAAAUUUUUUGAAAUUGCUGCUGUUUUAAAUUAUAAAACCUUUAUAUUUCUGCUUUGUAGAAAUUAUAUGUUUUGUAGUAUUCAUUGAUUUUCUUUCACUGUACUUAAAUUUAGUGUUAGUACUUUAAAAUUUUUAAUUUACCAGUCUUUAAAGCAACAUCCAGAAAAAAAAAAGUCUUUUCCCAUUUAAAAUAGGCUCAGCCAGUUCAAUGUCUCCUUGUUAUCAGAGAAAUAUUAGUUCAAUACUGAAAGAAAAAUAUUAUACCUCUUGGUAUCUAGAAAAGCUUGUUCAUCCAUUAUAAAUAUAUCUUUAGCCACAGCAAACCACACUUAACCUAUCUAUAAUAAAAAUGUGCUUUAAAUAA